GUCUGAGUAUCAUACAUGCAGUGAAUUGUCUCAAGCAUAUACAGCCCUGAUUCGCAAUUCAUGGAUGUAUGCUACUCAGA